rnacentral:rRNA from 1 species
GAUGAACGCUGGCGGCGUGCUUAACACAUGCAAGUCGAACGAAGCACUUUAUUUGAUUUCCUUCGGGACUGAUUAUUUUGUGACUGAGUGGCGGACGGGUGAGUAACGCGUGGGUAACCUGCCUUGUACAGGGGGGAUAACAGUUGGAAACGGCUGCUAAUACCGCAUAAGCGCACAGCAUCGCAUGAUGCAGUGUGAAAAACUCCGGUGGUAUAAGAUGGACCCGCGUUGGAUUAGCUAGUUGGUGAGGUAACGGCCCACCAAGGCGACGAUCCAUAGCCGACCUGAGAGGGUGACCGGCCACAUUGGGACUGAGACACGGCCCAAACUCCUACGGGAGGCAGCAGUGGGGAAUAUUGCACAAUGGGCGAAAGCCUGAUGCAGCGACGCCGCGUGAGCGAAGAAG